GUGGUAUAUUUGCUAAAAUAAACAAAAUUUAAGAUUGACAUGAACUAAUAUGAUUGAGGGGAAGCCAAAGGAGUUGCAGUUAAGGUGCUUCCAAUCCCAACUUCAGCGAAAGCCAAGUGUGAGUGAUAAAAGAGGCAGCUAGCUUCCAAGUAUAUGAAAACCAGAGAUACUUGUAUAUCUACAUCUAUUGCAAGAUCCAUUGAGCAAAUAACCUAUCUUAAGAACUAUAACCAUCAAAUGAUUACUGAAAACAACACUAACAGGAACUAACAUAACAAUUUAGAUAUCUCAAACUCAUAAACUAAGAA
rnacentral:lncRNA from 1 species